rnacentral:sRNA from 1 species
UAUACAUAAAAAGUGUGGAAUACUAUUUGAAUUCAAAAAUUAUAUUAAAAAUUAUAUUUAUUUCUCAUAUCUGCCUAAUUUGGCGGGUCUUUUAGUUGCUUUGAGGAAGCCAAAAGAGCAACCGAUAAAUCCGAAUUCGAUACUUGCUGUGGUGAUUGAGCCAUCACAAAACGACAGUACAAUGACGGAAGGAAAUUUGCAGCAGCGUGGAAACACUGUAAACAAGCGAGACUAUAACUUUAGUUUAGAUUUGUUUUU